rfam:Bacillus sp. B-jedd genome assembly, contig: CONTIG000001
AGUGUAGGUAGAGGCGCGGGCUUCAUGAGUAAAAAUCCGGAGAAUAAUGGAUUCGACGAUGGAUUUUGAAAGGGGAUACCGCCGAAGCAGUGAAUGGCCCAUUCCAUCCACUUGCUGGUCCUGUAUUGAAUAAAUGCAGGAUUGUCAGGGUACACCACCCUGGAGGGCUAUCUCACAU